AACACCUGUGUUUACCUACUGUUUCACGUUAAAUGGCCAUUGGUAUUACAGCAAAGUCUUACAGGAAUAAGCAGACCUUUAAUACAGGCUGCAGGCUGGGACACUGCAGGACAGGGACAGCAGCCAGCCUGAGGACCUGAGGGAAGUGUCCGUGGGGGUUACUCCCAUGGGGACAAACGAUCCUGCCAUGUUACUGAAUGGGACGUCGCGACCUGGAAGUCUUGUUUUCUACAUCAGACUCAAUGUGGUAGACCAAUCUCUCCACAGUAGCCCUGGGAACCCAAAACACUGGCAAAGUAAAGUUUUACUGCUCCCCACCCUGCUAACACAUCAUUUCCAUUCUCCCAUGCUGCUACUUUUAUUAAUUGUUCUGUCAUUUCUACGUUUUU